rnacentral:rRNA from 1 species
UUUAUGGAGAGUUUGAUCCUGGCUCAGGAUGAACGCUGGCGGCGUGCCUAAUACAUGCAAGUCGAGCGAACGGACGAGAAGCUUGCUUCUCUGAUGUUAGCGGCGGACGGGUGAGUAACACGUGGAUAACCUACCUAUAAGACUGGGAUAACUUCGGGAAACCGGAGCUAAUACCGGAUAAUAUUUUGAACCGCAUGGUUCAAAAGUGAAAGACGGUCUUGCUGUCACUUAUAGAUGGAUCCGCGCUGCAUUAGCUAGUUGGUAAGGUAACGGCUUACCAAGGCAACGAUGCAUAGCCGACCUGAGAGGGUGAUCGGCCACACUGGAACUGAGACACGGUCCAGACUCCUACGGGAGGCAGCAGUAGGGAAUCUUCCGCAAUGGGCGAAAGCCUGACGGAGCAACGCCGCGUGAGUGAUGAAGGUCUUCGGAUCGUAAAACUCUGUUAUUAGGGAAGAACAUAUGUGUAAGUAACUGUGCACAUCUUGACGGUACCUAAUCAGAAAGCCACGGCUAACUACGUGCCAGCAGCCGCGGUAAUACGUAGGUGGCAAGCGUUAUCCGGAAUUAUUGGGCGUAAAGCGCGCGUAGGCGGUUUUUUAAGUCUGAUGUGAAAGCCCACGGCUCAACCGUGGAGGGUCAUUGGAAACUGGAAAACUUGAGUGCAGAAGAGGAAAGUGGAAUUCCAUGUGUAGCGGUGAAAUGCGCAGAGAUAUGGAGGAACACCAGUGGCGAAGGCGACUUUCUGGUCUGUAACUGACGCUGAUGUGCGAAAGCGUGGGGAUCAAACAGGAUUAGAUACCCUGGUAGUCCACGCCGUAAACGAUGAGUGCUAAGUGUUAGGGGGUUUCCGCCCCUUAGUGCUGCAGCUAACGCAUUAAGCACUCCGCCUGGGGAGUACGACCGCAAGGUUGAAACUCAAAGGAAUUGACGGGGACCCGCACAAGCGGUGGAGCAUGUGGUUUAAUUCGAAGCAACGCGAAGAACCUUACCAAAUCUUGACAUCCUUUGACAACUCUAGAGAUAGAGCCUUCCCCUUCGGGGGACAAAGUGACAGGUGGUGCAUGGUUGUCGUCAGCUCGUGUCGUGAGAUGUUGGGUUAAGUCCCGCAACGAGCGCAACCCUUAAGCUUAGUUGCCAUCAUUAAGUUGGGCACUCUAAGUUGACUGCCGGUGACAAACCGGAGGAAGGUGGGGAUGACGUCAGAU